AGAAUUCCAUGGACUGUAUGGUCUAUGGGGUCGCAAACAUUUGGACACGACUGAGCAACUUUCACUUCACUUGGAUAUGAGAUGGAGAAGAGUAAGAAUAACUCUGAACUUUUUGUCCUGACUUACUGAAAGGGUGAGGUUGGCCUUGACUGAAGUUGGGGAAAACUUGGAGAGGAUCAGGGUUGCUAAGAUCAGGAGUUCAGUUUUGAUCUGUUAGGUCUGACAUGAUGACAAAUCAUGUGUGGGAGGCGGGACGAUGGCUUUCCCAAGGGGCCGUCUGGAUCCCACUCCCUGGGACCUGUGAAUGCCUGCGGCUACAUGGCAAAAGGGAAUCAAGGGGGCGGAGGGAAUGAAGGUUGCUAAUUAGCUGACCUUGGGAUAGCGUUAUCCAGGUGGACGCAAUGCAAUCACAAGUUUAAAUGUGGAAGAGGGCCACGGAGGAGGCAGUGUCAGAGUGAUGCAGUGUGAGAAAGAUUUGACUGGACGGUGCUGGCUUCGGAGAUAGCAACGGCCAACAGAAAGGGAGUGCAAGCAGUCUCUAGAAGCUGGAAAAGACAAGAUAAUUGAUUCUGCCCUGGAGCCUCUAGAAAGAAAUGCCACCCUGCUGGCAGCUUGACUUUAGACCAAUGAGACCCAUUUUGGACUUCUGACCUUCAGCAGCGUAAGGGCUGUCAGGCUGCUUGCCCUCGAGGCUUUGACGCACCCACGCACUUCUGACAUAUCGCCUCCGGCAUCCGACAGCGCGACACAAUCAAACGGCAGUGCAGACCCUGCUUGAGAUACUGUCCACGGUCAACUGGAACAGCCCUGUGACUUUCUCAUCAUAAAGCAAGCUCAUCAGUGAUGGUGUUCACCCAGAGUCUCGCAGCUAGUGACACACUUGGGCAGGAACCCACGUCAAAACUGAAAGUGGCACUGGCAAGGACAGCACAGAGGGACCAGGACCCACCAGCAACCCCCGCCCGGCCCAGAAGUGCUGCUGCAUGUGGAGCCAGGUUAGAAGGCGCGUGCUGCCAGGAUGGCGAAGCCAGCUCCGCUCUGAAACACAACAAAGAGAGAGUUCUGAGGAUUCUUCAGCUUGGCAGCAGGAGGAAAAAUGAGCCCACGAUGCUGCCAGGUACCCUGCGAAGCAACAAUGGUGCUUGUCAGCUGUAGCUUCCAGUGGGCAUGAAGUGUGAUGAAAUAACCCAGUUGCACAAAAGGGGGAAGAAUAAGUGACGGCUCUGCAGACAGAUGGUGAGAGACUUGUUUCUGCAGCUACAGAUAAAAAGUUUUACUGAAAUGCCUUUAAAGGUGACCUUCUUAAACAAUUGUGCCUCACCGGAAAGCAACUCUAGUUUCUAGGGCAUGUUUCUUUUUGUUAAAUCGUGGAACAGAGAAAUCAUGUAAUCUGGGCAAAAAUAAAACCAGUAAGGUCA